AUUGAACGCUGGCGGCAUGCCUUGCACAUGCAAGUCGAACGGCAGCACGGGUGCUUGCACCUGGUGGCGAGUGGCGAACGGGUGAGUAAUACAUCGGAACGUACCUUAUCGUGGGGGAUAACGCAGCGAAAGCUGUGCUAAUACCGCAUACGCCCUGAGGGGGAAAGCGGGGGAUCGAAAGACCUCGCGCGAUUAGAGCGGCCGAUGCCUGAUUAGCUUGUUGGUGGGGUAAAAGCCCACCAAGGCGACGAUCAGUAGCUGGUCUGAGAGGACGAUCAGCCACACUGGGACUGAGACACGGCCCAGACUCCGACGGGAGGCAGCAGUGGGGAAUUUUGGACAAUGGGGGCAACCCUGAUCCAGCAAUGCCGCGUGAGUGAAGAAGGCCUUCGGGUUGUAAGCUCUUUUGUCAGGGAAGAAACACCGGCUCUAACACAGUCCGGGAAUGACGGUACCUGAAGAAUAAGCACCGGCUAACUACGUGCCAGCCGCCGCCGUAA
rnacentral:rRNA from 1 species